rnacentral:lncRNA from 1 species
UAGACAGUAUUAACAUACAAUACAUCCAUAAAUUCCACCAAUAAGAAUAUAAUCAACUACACAAUUCCCUUUGUUAUUUGCAAUCCAAUUACUUCCAAACUUGAAACAAAAUCAAAUGAAAACCAAACCAAAUAGAUCCCUAAAACCUUGGUGGCAUCUGAAAAAGAAGUUUACCAAAGGACAUCCAAAAAUCUCAUGAUUAUAUGCAUUUAACCAUUUGAAGAGAGCAGUGGAUAACACCUUGCAACAUUUAAGCAAUGAAAGAGAGGGUAGUAGUUAUAUCUGCUGAAUUCCAUGCAACAAUCAUAGCCUUCAAUUCAAAUCUUCCAUAUUCAAUCAUGAUAGAGUGUGGCAUCAGAUAUUUGCUGGGCCCUAUUUUGUCCCCAUUUCUUGUCCACUUGUGUUUAUAAUGUUCCUUCAGAAUUGGGGGUUGAGUCCUAAGGUAAUGUUCAACACUUUAUAUUCCUGUACCAACAACUCCAUGAUAUAUACACCCAAGAAUUUUUUGGUACCUAUUGAUGAUCUCAUUUAUAGAUGGCAUAUUAAUAAUUGAGAAUAUAGGAGGUGGGAUCUGCCGUCCAAUUUUGUUGUUGAAAUGGUCGUUCAUCAAAUAAAUUAUUGACAUUUUAUCAAUUUGAUCGGUUAGUUGUGAAGUUAAUGAGCGUAAAUUUGAGAUGAUAUAUUAAUUAUUGAUGACAUGUCAAUAAUUCAUUAAAUUGACAACCAUUUAUACAACAAAAUUGAACAGUAAAUCUCGACUCAAAAUAUAAAUAUUAUGAAUAAGUUGCAUUUGACGACCAUGUGUGAUAAAAGUGUGUCAAUACUACAUGAUCACUCGAAAAGUAAGCGAUAAAUAUAUAAAACCUAACAACUUUUAUAAUUAUAUGAAAAUAUGAAAAUUAUGUGUUCUUAUUUACUAAAAUAAUAGAAAUUUGAGUGUUUAAAAUUUAUUUAUAUUAUGAUUGGGGUUCGCAUUAAAAAUCAACCUUGUUAAUAUGUUGUUUGAUUUUUUCAUUUUUAUUUGAAAUGGGAUUCCAUUCUAAAUUAAGUAAUAUACUUCAGAUAUGUGCAACAUAACUACACUUUAUUUGAUUUUAAUUAACUACACUUUGAUUUCCAUUAAGACAAUUCCACUUACAUAAAUUGAUGAUGUAAUAGUCGACAAAUAAUUGUCAUUAUAUUAUCAAUUUUAUUAGACGAAUUGAAAUCAAAUUUAGCCCUUGUGUUGGAAAAAUUAUAGGUACUAUGAAUGUGUGCUUGAAAAUGAUUUCGAGAAAAAUGGUUAUACUAAAAUAUAUGCAAAAAUAAAUAAAUAAAAAUCCUGAAGUGUAGUUACACAAGUGAAACAAAUCGAAGUAUAAUUACUUGAUUGAUACUAAUUGAAAGUAUAGUUACCGUGGGUGGAAUAUAACCAAAUAAAUUCAGUAAAAAUUUAAACAUUACAUAAUAAACAUUUCCAUUCUGCUAGAAAUUAAAUUGCUUAGUUAUUCGACAAUUACAAUCUUUAUUUAAUAAUAAAAUUAAACUGACAGUAAGGUUAGUGUUAAUUUAUUCAUUUCAUAAAAUAAUAAGAUCACUAAAUAAAACAUUAAAAUAUUUAUUCAGUUGUUUAUUAAGGGCACGUUCUAUAAUAAUUAUGAGAAUUGAUUUUUUUGAUCAUUAAAAAGAAAAGUAGGUCCCACUUGUGAGUAAAGAAGUCAAAAAUGAUGGCUGAAAUAAUAAAAUAACUGUAAAAAAUUGCUACCUAAUAGGGGAUUAAGUGUUUCAAUUUUUUUUGAAAAAAACCUUAAGAUAAGAUUUAACUAAAAUUAUCAUGUAAAAAUAAUAAAAUUAAAAGUGGUAAGAGUGAAGUCUAAUCAGAUCAAUGACUUGAUUCUGAUUCUCGUUUGGGAGGGUAAAAUUUUGGAAAAAAAAUUAUGAUAUUUUUAAAAAUCCUCUCUCUGCUGGAUGUCACAUUAGGCUUCUAAUAAGAAAUAAAAGUCCAUAACAUGGAUCUGAAGCCUUUUAAGAGGCCCUAUUUAAGUCCACAAAAUGGAUGUAAAGUUGGGCCUCCACAAGAAGCCAUUUAGGCCCACUCACAAAAUCUCCCACAGAAUUCUUAUUGAAAUAGGAAGGUAAACUAAAAUCAAAGUUUACAUUGAUACAACAGCCAACUUCAAAUAUUACAUUUAUCACUUAGCUCCCGUUUGACCCCUCAUUUUGUGGAAAAAUCAAUGAUUGAAAUAGUGUUUUUUUUUUAUAAAAACGAGUAGUUGAAAAAGAAAGAAUUUUUCGAUUUACGUAUAAUACUAUUUUAUAAAAAAUUGCGUGAUUAAACGUAAAUGAGAGAAAAAUGAAAUGUAAGGCUUAAAAAACAUACUGUAUCUUGAAAUUAUCAAUCAAAUUAAUACGUACUUUUCCAUUAGGGAAAAGUUCUAUGUUUAUAACAUAUUAUCAGAGAAAGAAAAUGCUGAAUGCAAGGGGAAAAAAGAGAGGAAAAUCAGAGUCUAAUGCUUGGUGUUCUCUAGUAAAGGAAAAGUACUAAAAUAUGAAAAACAAAAACAAGAAAGCAAACUGUUCACUGUUCACCGACUGAAUAUUCCAAUAAUGGACUACUGGGGCUGUUUUACCUUUGCUUUCGAGGUCUCCCACGUGGAUUCUAACAUCAGCCUUGAAACCUUAGAAAUCCAUUCAAGUUUAGCUGCCUCAGAAAUAUCCCACAAACAAAUGAAUGAGUUUGGCAACUUUUUGUAUAAGUUUUUUUUUUUUGUUUUUUCUUGUUUUUUUGGGUUUCUGUGAAAUUUAUAGUUUUAUGAAGAAAUUAUGGAUUAAAGAAAGAGAAAAGAACUUAUUGAUUUUUGUUUGAAAAGGGGAAAAAGGAAAAGAAUAAUUUCUGGGUUUAAUUAUCUUAGCGUGAUAUUGAAGAAAUGAAGUGGAUUUAAUGUUUUCUGCAAUGGAAAUGCUUAAAAAUUUCGGCUAAUGUUAUGCUUCAGGUUGGUGAGAUCCUUG